GGAAGUAAAAGUCGUAACAAGAUUUCCGUAGGUGAACCUGCGGAAGGAUCAUUAUUGUAUAACCGAGGUGCGAGGGCUGUCGCUGACCCGAAAGGUCGUGCACGCCCGUGUGCCCUCACACACAUCCAUCUCACCCCUAUGUGCACCACCGCGCGGGUCCCCCUUUGGCUUGUUCGGAGGGGGGCUUACGUUUUCACACAAACUUUGUAUGCAGUGUAGAAUGUAUUUUUUGUUUUUGCGAUCACGCAAUCAAUACAACUUUCAACAACGGAUCUCUUGGCUCUC
rnacentral:misc_RNA from 1 species